GUGGUUGUGGCUCAGGGGUAGAGCGCUUGCCUCACACAAGCGAGACCCUGGGUUCGAUCCUUAGCACCACA
rnacentral:tRNA from 1 species